GUUUGACUGUGCAUGGAUGGCGUUCAGCACUAAGGACAGGUAUGUUUGACUGUGUAUGGAUGGUGUUCAGCACUAAGGACGGGUAUGUUUGACU
rnacentral:pre_miRNA from 1 species